AUUGAACGCUGGCGGCAUGCUCUACACAUGCAAGUCGAACGGCAGCGCGGGCUUCGGCCUGGCGGCGAGUGGCGAACGGGCGAGUAAUGCAUCGGAACGUGCCCCGUAGUGGGGUAUAGCCCGGCCAAAGCCGGAUUAAUACCACAUCCGACCUGAGGUAGAAAGCGGGGGUCCGCAAGGCCACCCGCUAUUGGGGCAGGCGAUGUCGGAUUAGCUAGUUGGUUGGGUAAGGGCUUACCAAGGGAACGAUCCGUAGCUGGUCCGAGGGGAAGACCCGCCACACUGGGACUGAGGCACGGCCCAGACUCCUACGGGAGGCAGCAGUGUGGAAUUUUGGACCAUGGGGGCAACCCUGAUCCAGCCAUGCCGCGUGCGGGAAGAGGGCCUUCGGGUCGUAAACCGCUUUUGUUCGGGAAGAACUCCUCUGGGCUAAUACCCCGGGGGGAGGACGGUACCGGGAUAAUAAGCACCGGCUAACUACGUG
rnacentral:rRNA from 1 species